UUUCGGGUUUUUAUUGACAAAAAGGUGUAUGGUGUGGGUGUCGCAAGACGAUGGCGCUGAAUCUCAACGCGGACUGCGGGUAGACCCGGGGGGCAGUACCCCGGCGCCUCCACCAGAAGCGGCCAAAGCGUAAUUGCUUUCUAUUCCCUGGCCGUUUCUGAGGGGGGCGAAAUAGGUUCGAUGCUCGCGAAGAAGUUUUGAAGUGUGCCCGGCAUGAUACCGCCGUUAUCGGGUCAAAACCUAAAUGCAAACGAUAACGUUCGCAUGAAUGAAG
rnacentral:tmRNA from 1 species